AGUCUAGAGAAUCGUUUUCCGCGUUGGCCUGUGUACAAGUCCCUUGGAACAGGGCGUCAUAGAGGGUGAGAAUCCCGUCCUUGACACAGACUACCAAUGCUUUGUGAUGCGAUCUCGAAGAGUCGAGUUGUUUGGGAAUGCAGCUCAAAUGGGUGGUAAAAUCAUCUAAAGCUAAAUAUUGGCGAGAGACCGAUAGCGAACAAGUACCGUGAGGGAAAGAUGAAAAGCACUUUGGAAAGAGAGUUAAACAGUACGUGAAAUUGUUAAAAGGGAAACGAUUGAAGUCAGUCAUGCUUUCCGAGACUCAGCCGAUUCUGUCGGUGUACUUCUCGGUUGGCAGGCCAGCAUCAGUUUCGAUCUGUGGAAAAGGUUGGAGGGAACGUGGCAUCCUCGGAUGUGUUAUAGCCCUUCUUCGAAUACAUAGAGCGGGACUGAGGAACGCAGCGCGCCUUUUAUUAGGUUGGCCCUCGGGUACAUACGCGCUU
rnacentral:rRNA from 1 species